rnacentral:lncRNA from 1 species
CAACAUCUAAAUGGAGAAGUGCACGAAGCGCCUCCAGGCAUUAGCUCUCAUUGUUCUCUUAUGCCUUGCUACUCAUCCACAAUGUAAGUCUCAUUGUUCUCUUAUGCCUUGCUACUCAUCCACAAUGUAAGUGGUACAUAAGCAACAAUUUUCCUCUCGUGUCCCUUGGAAAUCUUACUGUAUUUUUGUGUUUCAUUCCUUAACUAGUAAGGACACUGAUGGAUAAUAAAUCCAAACUCUUUCUCUUAAUUUCGUAGGCAAUGCCGUACGUUAUGCGUGCUUCAAGCUUACCACUAUCCCAGCCUGCAAUCCAGAUAAAAGUAUAUGUUAUUGUUGCACAGGGAGUUUGGCUUGCUACAAAACGAGAGAUGAAUGCAAAGCCCGCUGUGUUCCUCCACCAGUUGGCUUAAACGAGGCAGGGGCAUCCUCGUCCUCGUCCUCUGCAUUUCCAUGAAAUUGGAUUAUUAUAUUGUUAUCUGGAAUAAUGUGAUGUCUGCUCAUUAUAUGAUGUCUGAGUGAAGAACUAUGAAAUAACAAGAGAAAAUAAUAAAGAGCAUUACCUGCAAGUUUUAGUAAGCAAUUUCCUUU